ACCAGCCACCGAUUCCAAACCUCUCUCUCAACCAGCACAUCACCUUCACCUCCUACUUCACGAGUUUCCCUUUCCAGAAACCCAUUCUAUCUUUUCUUCCUCCUUCAAACUUCUUUCUACCACAACUUUCAUUCUACAACUCCAAUUCUUGCGCCGUUUCUGCCAUUUGGAUCGUAGGAACGAUCUCUACAAGAAAGUGUGGUUUGGGAGAAUGGUGGUCGCUGGACAGCUCAUUGAAGGUUGAGGAUUACUUUGGAGCUGUUAAGGUGAAGAAUCUACCUUGGGCUGAACCUACAGAGAACUCAGAGUAAUUUUUGGGUUGAAGUGGAAGUUGGGGAUUUCUGACUGUCUUGGAGCUCUACUGGGAAAGAACAAGUUGCAGAGAAAGAAGGAAGCUUUGGGUUUACAAA